rnacentral:misc_RNA from 1 species
ACCGAUACGCAUGACUAUGAAGUCAAAAUGCGCAAUGUCUUCAAGUUUCUUGAGAACGGCGACAAGGUCAAAGUCACACUGCGUUUUCGUGGCCGUGAAAUGGCGCACCAGAACCUGGGGCGCGAGCUGCUCGAGCGUGUAGCCGUGGACACUAAGGAAAUCGGCAAGGUCGAGAACAUGCCCAAGAUGGAAGGCCGUCAGAUGAUCAUGAUGAUUGGCCCAUUGCCACAGAAGUAAGCGUUCUUCUGAUUGAAUGACAAAAGCCCCUCCGUCAUCGAAGGGGCUUUUUAUUGUUUGGCUACACGGCGAGAUCAGAUAACUGA